rnacentral:misc_RNA from 1 species
AACGCAAAUUGCGCUCAAGGCCUCGGCCAAGAGCAUGUCUGCCUCAGCGUCGGCUACUACCCUCAACCAAGUUCCCUAGUAUCAUAGGGGAUGCCGGUUGGACUUGGCUGUCCAGUUUGCCUUUCAGGUGGCCGGUCAGCUGAAAAACAUUCACGCUUUGGGAGCUGCUUUCCUUUCACAGGAAAGACGAGUUCCGAUUUGGUAGGUGACCUUUGCCGGUUGCAUGCCUUCGUUGCCCGUUAAGCUCACCAGAAGCGAUGUGCAGGACGCCAUUUGGCUUUCGACCUGAGGUCAGGCAAGAACACCCGCUGAACUUAA